rnacentral:rRNA from 1 species
AACUCGGCUGCAUGAAGCUGGAAUCGCUAGUAAUCGCGAAUCAGAAUGUCGCGGUGAAUACGUUCCCGGGUCUUGUACACACCGCCCGUCACACCAUGGGAGUUGGAAAUGCCCGAAGUCAGUGACCCAACCGAAAGGAGGGAGCUGCCGAAGGCAGGUCUGAUAACUGGGGUGAAGUCGUAACAAGGUACC